rnacentral:rRNA from 1 species
UAAGGAAUAUUGGACAAUGGACGGAAGUCUGAUCCAGCCAUGCCGCGUGAAGGAUGAAGGCGCUCAGCGUUGUAAACUUCUUUUGAAUGGGAACAAUAACUUCUACGUGUAGGAGCUUGAGGGUACCAUUAGAAUAAGCACCGGCUAACUCCGUGCCAGCAGCCGCGGUAAUACGGAGGGUGCAAGCGUUAUCCGGAAUCACUGGGUUUAAAGGGUGCGUAGGCGGUGGCGUAAGUCAGUUGUGAAAUUCCCCGGCUUAACCGGAGGGACUGCGAUUGAUACUGCGUCACUUGAAUCAGGAUGAGGUAGGCGGAAUGUGGCAUGUAGCGGUGAAAUGCUUAGAUAUGCCAUAGAACACCGAUUGCGAAGGCAGCUUGCUGGACCUGUAUUGACGCUGAGGCACGAAAGCGUGGGGAGCAAACAGG